GGAGAGGUAUUUAUAGGCAAAUAACUCGAAGAGGUUCGGUAUGAAUAGGUUUCCAAAUCCAAUUUGCAUAAAGUUCUAAAAAAUAUUCUCUAAAGCUUGAUAGAAAAUACAUGAGUGCUCGAGUGUACUUAACCAUUGCUUGAGUGCCUUAGGCAUUUAAGCAGUGCUAACUGCUUGAGCAGUCCUAAAGCUUGAGUGGUCCUAACACUUGAGCGUUUUUGCCCGUUGAGUGUCCCC
rnacentral:lncRNA from 1 species